UGGUUCUGGCAUCGAUGAAGAACGCAGCGAAAUGCGAUAAGUAAUGCGAAUUGCAGAAUUUCCGUGAGUCAUCGAAUCUUUGAACGCACAUUGCGCCCUUUGGCAUUCCGAAGGGCAUGCCUGUUCGAGCGUCAUUAUCCUCUCUCAAACCCCGGGUUUGGUGUUGGACCGUGUUGGACCGCCCAUGGCCAACUGGUCUUAAAGACAAUGACGGCGUCCCGAGGACCCUCUUCGCACUGAGCUUUCCGGAGCACGCGUCGAGUUGCAAGGACCUCAGGACCCGGUCACCUCUAAAUUUUCUUAAGGUUGACCUCGGAUCAGGUAGGAAUACCCGCUGA
rnacentral:misc_RNA from 1 species